rnacentral:piRNA from 1 species
UGACUACCAUGAAAUAUAAGACUACUCAU